rnacentral:rRNA from 1 species
UACGGGGGGGGCAAGCGUUGUUCGGAAUUACUGGGCGUAAAGGGCUUGUAGGUGGCCAACUAAGUCAGACGUGAAAUCCCUCGGCUUAACCGGGGAACUGCGUCUGAUACUGGAUGGCUGGAGUGUGGGAGAGGGAUGCGGAAUUCCAGGUGUAGUGGUGAAAUGCGUAGAUAUCGGGAGGAACACCAGUGGCGAAGGCGACUUCCUGGCCUGUUCUUGACGCUGAGGCGCGAAAGCUAGGGUAGCAAACGGG